CAGGGAGACAGGUGUGCAUGGUUGUCGUCAGCUCGUGUCGUGAGAUGUUGGGUUAAGUCCCGCAACGAGCCGCAACCCCUACGUUUAGUUGCUAACAGGUGAAGCUGAGCACUCUAGACGAACUGCCGUUGACAAAACGGAGGAAGGUGGGAUGACGUCAAAUCAUCAUGCCCCUUAUGUUCUGGGCUACACACGUGCUACAAUGGCCGGUACAGACGGAGGCGAAGCCGCGAGGCGGAGCAAAUCCGAAAAAGCCGGUCUCAGUUCGGAUUGCAGGCUGCAAUUCGCCUGCAUGAAGUCGGAAUCGCUAGUAAUCGCAGGUCAGCAUACUGCGGUGAAUACGUUCCCGGGCCUU
rnacentral:rRNA from 1 species